rnacentral:tRNA from 1 species
GCGGGUGUAGUUCAAUGGUAGAACGUCAGCUUCCCAAGCUGAAGACGUGGGUUCGAUUCCCAUCACCCGCUCCAGAC